rnacentral:lncRNA from 10 species
CACCACCAUCUGGCAGCUUCCUGAACACUGAGACCAAGGGAAGUUUCAUGGGGAUGAGGCCAGACCAGAAGGACAUAGAGCCAUCAAAGCGUACAUGAGCCACAUUUUCAAGAGGUGGGGACAGCUGGCCUGAAAUCCCAGAGUCAUCCUUGGAAGCCUUGGAUACCAGAAGUAUUCGGUUCUGGAGGCUGAAGUCCAAGGUCAAGGUCAAAGAGCCACAUCUGGUGAGGGCCUUCCUGCUGGUGGGGACUCUGCAGAACCCUGAAGCAUUGCAGGGCAUCACAUGGUGGGGGAGCUUGAGCACACCAAACUGGCUUUUACUAGAGACCCACUCUCAUGAUAACUAACCCACUCCUGUGAUAACCCAUUAAUUAAUUAACCCACUAAUCCAUUAGUCAAUUAAUAGAUUAAUCCAUUGAUGAGGGAAGAGCCUUCAUGACCAAAUCACCUCUUAAAGGCCCUACUUCUUAAUACUAUUAUAAUUGGGAUUAAAUUUCAACAUGAGUUUCAGAGGGGACAAACAUUCAAGCCAUAGCAAUAAGAAAGCUAUACAAUUGUUCCUGUGUGCAUAUUUCUUUUCUUUUCUUUUCUUUUCUCUUUUCUUUUCUUUUCUCCCUUCCUUCCUUCCUUCCUUCCUUUCUUUCUUUCUUUCUUUCUUUCUUUCUUUCUUUCUUUCUUUCUUUCUUUCUUUCUUCCUUUCUUUCUUUCUUUCUUUCUGAGAUGGAGUUUUGCUCUGUCACCAGGCUGGAGUGCUGUGGCGCGAUCUCGGCUUACUGCAACCUCCACCUCCUGGGUUCAAGCGAUUCUCCUGCCUCAGCCUCCUGAGUAGCUGGGAUUAUAGGCGUGUGCCACCACGCCCGGCAAUUUUUUUUGUAUUUUUAGUAGAGACGAGGUUUCACCAUGUUGGUCAGGCUGGUCUCAAACUCCUGACCUCGUGAUCCACCCCGUCCACCUCCCGAAGUGCUGGGAUUACAGGCGUGAGCCACUGCGUCCAGCCUGUGCAUAUUUCUUUAAACCUUAUUCUACUUGUAUUGUUUCAAUGUAUUAUUUGGUGAAACUAUUAAUCCCACCAUUUUUAAGAUCUCAUGUUUAAAUAUCUCAAUUUUGUUUGUAAAAGGAUAAUAGGAUAGAAAAGCAUGUGAUUAUUUUCUACUCUUAACCAUACCAAAAUGAUUAGGAAAGCCACACAGACAUCAGCAAGGUACUGUUGCUUGCAUAAUGCUGGCAUGUCCCAACAUGUCCCAAAUGCAGGCAAAGUUCCAGAGAAGGCAUUACCACUUGCUAACAGAUUCUGGCUAUAUGACUCAUCUCCAGUGAACAGGAUCAGUGUUAUUUGAUUUUGCACUAUCAGAGUGGUGGGUAAAUGAACAUGAUUUUCCUCUCCUGCUUGUCAAUGUGUCCAAAUGAUUAAUAUCUUAUGAGAACAAAAUGAAUCCAAUGAUAGCUAGCAUUUAUCAAAUACUCAUUAUGUAUCUGGAACCGUUAGUCAUUUCCAUAAAGUAGAUCAUUUAAUUCUUCACAAACCCUGUGAAGUAGGCAUUAUGGUCUCCAUUUUGCUGAAGAGGAAAAUGAGAUGAAGAAAAUGCUAAAUCACUGCUCAAGGUCACAGAGCAGGUGAGUAGUGGGGAGGGGAUUCUGCAUCACAUCUGGCCAGAUUCCAGAACCUGGGCAGAAUAACUCCUGGAAGUGAGGGAGAAAUUUUAGGUUGUGCCUAAAUUAAAAGUUGUCCUUUGCCUGCCAGAGUUUCUAAUAGCCCCUUCUUUAAUCAAUGUACCAUUUUUUACCCUUUGAUAAAGUAAUAAUUUUCACCCCCUGCAAAUUUAAAAGUAUAUUGAAUCAGGUUAGAACCAUUUCUGUCCCAGGAAUAUCCAAUAAAAGGCUUGGUUGUUUCCCCAAGGAUUUAGUGUUCCUGUAAGAAGUGUUUUUCCUGAUAUUAUCAAAGUGUAUGUCUUAUUUUUGCAUUGCCUUGACUUCUUUAAGUCAAGAUUUUGUAGUGUGGGAGAUUGAUGGAUUGAUUGUUGUAAACAAACUUGUGUAUGUGAAAAUAUAUGUACAUCCACUUUCGUAGGGAACACAACAUUUUUUAUGGUUGUCAGAUUAUUUCAACCAAAAACUGAAUGCUUUUUAUUUAAAAAAAUUUCAGCCACAAAAUAUGUACAUUGUAUAGGAAAUGUAUUGGUUACAAUAUAUCUUAUAUUUUACACCAAUUUUGCAGCUUUUGUCAAUUUUACUAUUUAAAAAAUUUAUUUGCUUCUGUGAUGGUGAAUUUUAUGUGCCAACUUGGCUAGACCAUGGCUUCAAGCUUUUGGUUAAACACUAGUCUACAUAUUGCUGUAAAGGUACUUUUUAGACAUGAUGAACUUUUGAAUCAGCAGACUUUGAGAAAGCAGAUUAUUUUUCAUUACAUGAGUGGGCCUCAUCCAGUCAAUUGAAGAUUUUAAGAAGUAAAAGACUGAGGUACCCCUAGGAUGAAGAAAUUCUGAUCCAGUCUGCCUUCAGACUUGAGCUGCAACAUCAACUCUUUCCUGGGUCUUCAGCCUGGCUGUUUGCUCUGUAGACUUUGGACUUGCCAGCCCGUAUAACUAUGUGAGCCAAUUCCUUAAAUCCCUCUCUCUCUCUCUCUCUCUCUCUCUACGUGUGUGUGUGUGUAUGUAUAUAUAUAUAUAUAUAUACAUACACACACAUAGACACAUGCACACACACAUUCUGUUGGUUCUAUGAGUAUUAUUCCUUGCAAUAUGCAUACCAUGUUGUGUCCAAUAGUCCAUAUAUUAUUGAUGACACUGAAAGUUAUUUUCACACUGGUAGUUGCCAAAGGAAAUGAAUAAAAUUCAAAUCAUUUCAGCAAAUUUGGAGUAGCACAUUCUUUGUGAAAAAUGUAUUUUCACUUUUCAAGAAAUGUGUUCCUUCAAAAAUCGGGCAUAAUAUUUAAGGGAAAAUUUGCAAGCAGCCCUGUUCUCCAUGGUGACAACAUGCAGAGUAGAGCUACUUCAUUGAAACAAGAUUUCUAGUGAUUAGCUAAAACCCAAAGCUCCAAAUCACAGUGAAGUGGAUUUUUAAAAGGAAACCCUGUCUCCCAGUGUUUGAGGACUAUGUAUAUAUACAGGGUCUCAGAGUCAAUGUGUUGAGUAUAUGAACUCUUAAAUAGUCCUUCCACAAUAGAAAGAGAAAGAAGUAGUGAUGGAGCAUCUGCAGGUGAGAGGAUUCUAGGAUGGGGAUUCCAGGAGGGGAAGGGGAAGAGCCCAGAGUUGGUGAUGUGGUAUGGGUGUGUGGUCUAUCACGGCUUCCAUAAAUGCUCAGGCUGUCUAUCCCUUUGGAGCAAGAUUACUGUUAAGCCCUAUACCACCAACUUGGAGCAUAAACAAUGUCAUUCCAAAGUAGCAUCUCAAAGCAAAACAAUGAGAGGUCUAGACCUCACAGAUUAGCAGGAGACACAUCUUACUCCACCCCAUCCUUCAAACUUCCUCCAAUGGCAUAUUCUACAAUUUUUGGGAUGUGUGCCAUGUCAAAAGAUUAGUUCUAAUUAUUCUCAUUUCUUGGUUGGUGCCAGAACUCUGUUUCACCUUUGAAGGUGCUGCUGUCCUGCUCCUGGAGGCGAUAUGGCUUGUUUUGCUCUCUCCCUCUGGCAGCCAUCCUGACUGGUCUCAGUGCUGCCUGCAGAUAUAUAAUGUCCUGUGUAAUGCUCGGUCAAGGGGAGCCUCAUGAGGGUGUGGAUUUGCAGCGUUACAACUCUUUAGGGUUGUGGUUCUUCUUUCCUUUCACUCACUCAGCCAUUUCCUUAGGGUGCAAGUCUGUUUCCAUGAUGGAUCACCACUGGGGACAGAAUCAGGUGCUGAGGGGGCCUUAAAUCCUGGAACCACCAUUCCCUCUUAAUGCUUGGCCCUUAUUGUACUGUCUGUUUCUCCAUAUGGUGAAUUAUUUAUUUUUCAGAAACACAUUGAUGUGUAGUCAACAACCAGAAAAUCUUGGUGACAUAUAAUCCUGAUGUUUAUUUAUUGCUCAUAAGUCUACAAGCCAACUGUGGUUUGAUUGAUCUAGGUGUGGCUCAGCGGGGCCUGGGUGCAGGUUGCUUUUAGGUCUGCUCCACAUGUCUCUCAUCCCUUUGGAGUUGGCAAACCACCUGGAGCACAGUCUUCUCAUGCAGAAGUGCAGGUGGGAGAACACGUUCCAGCUUUUGCUAACAUUGCAUCAACACUGCAAAUCACAUGGCCAAGCCCAAGAGCAAUGGCAAGGGGAAGCAUCUUACGAAAUUUCACCCGAGAGGCAGUGAGGAGUGAAUCUCCAAAAUUCCAACCAGCACACCAUCUAAGCAACUUUACACAGCCUUUCCCUAAUUUCUACCUUGCCGACAGUUACCCCACUAUGUCUAACAGCCUUAGUAAUUUUGAAUCCUAAAAGAAAGCAUUUGGGUUCUCAGGCUUCUUCUCCCAAGUGUCCACUCUGCUCCCCCAAACAACUGUCUAAUCACUUCUCAGCAUAUUCUAAGCUGCUUAUACCAACGCCCCUGUGGGUUACAAGCUAUGAAUCACCAACUCCCUACCAAGCUGAAGCUCAGGCCUGGUUCAGGCAAAAUGUUGUAAUAAAGGAAUAUAGCUCAAAAGAGGUAUUAUAUUGAGUCUCAGCUCUUCAUUCCUUUUUAUUUGUGCACAGACAAAAUAUCCACGUCAUUCUGCUACUUUGCUGUUCACUUACUCAAAUAUCUUUGCUUGUUUGCCAUUAAUUAAUAUGGAGUUUAUUAAUGAUAGAGAAAUAAAAAUUAUGACAACCUAAGCAUGUUCAUUAUCUGAAUAUUUGCCAGCCAUUAUGUACAGAGAGCAGACCAAUGUAAAAGAUUGUUUUUAUAUUGCAUAAUGUUAUUUUCUUUAAUUGUCUGUGAUCAAGUUAGAAAUUAAUAAAUGCAUAUUUAUUCCCUGUGGUCAACCAAGAAUCUCUCACUGGUUUAAUUUAAAUUUGGAAAGGCUGAGUAGAGUAGGACACUACCUAGAUGUAUGACUGCAACAAUUCAUUUGGUUUAGUUAGUUUUGAAGGCUGAUAGUUGCUAGCAAAUAAUUACA